rnacentral:rRNA from 1 species
CACGUAGGGUGCGAGCGUUGUCCGGAAUUAUUGGGCGUAAAGAGCUCGUAGGCGGUGUGUCGCGUCGGCCGUGAAAACUUGCAGCUUAACUGUGGGCGUGCGGUCGAUACGGGCAUCACUGGAGUUCGGCAGGGGAGACUGGAAUUCCUGGUGUAGCGGUGAAAUGCGCAGAUAUCAGGAGGAACACCGGUGGCGAAGGCGGGUCUCUGGGCCGAUACUGACGCUGAGGAGCGAAAGCGUGGGGAGCAAACAGG